GUCUAUGGCCAUGCCACCCUGCAUAAGCCGGAUGUCUCAUCUCGGAAGCUAAGCAGGGUUGGGCCUGGUUAGUACUUGGAUGGGAGACCACCUAAGAAGACCAGGUGCUGUAGGCA
rnacentral:rRNA from 1 species